rnacentral:rRNA from 1 species
AAGUUAUCUCUCAAGGCUUUAAUUUACUUUCAACCUAUUUACACAUUUUAAAAAUAAAACACUUAUCAACAUCAGUAGAAACAUUCGAACUUUUUUAAGCCCUUUAGACAUAGUACCGAAAGGAAAAGAUGAAAUAAAAUUAAACAAAAAACAGAAAACAGGAAAGAUAAGCCCUUUUACCUUGUGUAUAAUGGAUUAACAAGUAAAAAGAAAAAACCUUCUUUUCCCGAAACUGGGUGAGCUAACCUUCUCUUCCUUUUAGAGGAACCACUUUACUGUUGCAAUAGUAAAGACAAAGGGAAGGUUAGAUGUUAUAUGCUAACCGCACCUGGCGAUAGCUGGUUUCUCGAGAAAUUAGUUUAAGCUAAGCCCUCUUUUUAAAGUUAAAUAAAUUUAUUUGUAUAAACCAAAACUUAAAAAUUUAAAUAAGAGAGGUUAAGGUAACAGGGACAAGCCUGUUACCUAAAGUGGAAAACCCCAAAACCUUUAGCUAAAGUCAAUAACCUAUAGAAAUAGUUUUAUUUUAACGAGUAGGCCUAGAAGCAGCCAACCCUAAAGAGGGCGUUAAAGCCCAAUUUACACAUUAAACUAAAAAAUUUAUGAAAUUAUCUCUGACGCUAUAAAAUUUUAUCGAGACUUUUUCUCCUAAAAAGAGAUUAUGUUAAUAUGAGUAAGGAACCAUUUCACUUGAGCUUUAAACAACCUUAACCUUGGCAGAAAAAUAAUACUACUAAAACCUUUAUUUUAUCCACUGUCUUCCAACUCAGGAGAAAUACUAAACAACAAAGAGAUAAGAAGGAACUCGGCAAACUUAACGGUUUCGCCUGUUUACCAAAAACAUCGCUCUCCGACAAAUAAAACAUGGAGAGUCCUGCCUGCCCAGUGACUAGAAGUUAAACGGCCGCGGUAUCUUGACCGUGCGAAGGUAGCAUAAUCAUUUGUCUCCUAAAUAGAGACUAGUAUGAAUGGCAAGACGGAACUAAGCUGUCUCCUUAUCUCAUUCCCGAAUUUCACCUUCCCGUGAAGAGGCGAGAAUAUAUUCGCUAGACGAGAAGACCCUGUCGAGCUGUAGUAAAGAACUAACUUUUUAAGUUUUUUCUUCUCCUCCUAAUGGUUUAAUUUAGAAUUAGAAAAGACAAAAAGAUUAGUCCUAACUUUGGUUGGGGCAACCACGGAGAAGGAAAAACCUCCGCUAUCUAUAAUUUUAAAUUAAACUAAAGAAUCAUUUUUCUAGUAUCAUAAAAGUGAGAGUAUGAUCCACCCAGGUGAUCAAAAGAAAAAGUUACCGCAGGGAUAACAGCGUAAUCUUCUUUGAGAGUCCAUAUUGACAAGAAGGUUUGCGACCUCGAUGUUGGAUCGGGACAUCCUAAGGGUGCAGAAGCUUUUAAGGGUUGGUCUGUUCGACCAUUAAAGUCCUACGUGAUCUGAGUUCAGACCGGCGAGAGCCAGGUCAGUUUCUAUCUACGAUAUUAUCUUUCUUAGUACGAAAGGACCAGAAAGAGAGUGCCAAUGUGUUUUAACAUAAGCACCCUAAAUAAAAAAC